rnacentral:rRNA from 1 species
AAAUCUCACGGCUUAACUGUGAGCGUGCGGGCGAUACGGGCAGACUUGAGUACUGCAGGGGAGACUGGAAUUCCUGGUGUAGCGGUGGAAUGCGCAGAUAUCAGGAGGAACACCGGUGGCGAAGGCGGGUCUCUGGGCAGUAACUGACGCUGAGGAGCGAAAGCGUGGGGAGCGAACAGGAUUAGAUACCCUGGUAGUCCACGCCGUAAACGGUGGGUACUAGGUGUGGGUUUCCUUCCUUGGGAUCCGUGCCGUAGCUAACGCAUUAAGUACCCCGCCUGGGGAGUACGGCCGCAAGGCUAAAACUCAAAGAAAUUGACGGGGGCCCGCACAAGCGGCGGAGCAUGUGGAUUAAUUCGAUGCAACGCGAAGAACCUUACCUGGGUUUGACAUGCACAGGACGCCGGCAGAGAUGUCGGUUCCCUUGUGGCCUGUGUGCAGGUGGUGCAUGGCUGUCGUCAGCUCGUGUCGUGAGAUGUUGGGUUAAGUCCCGCAACGAGCGCAACCCUUGUCUCAUGUUGCCAGCGGGUAAUGCCGGGGACUCGUGAGAGACUGCCGGGGUCAACUCGGAGGAAGGUGGGGAUGACGUCAAGUCAUCAUGCCCCUUAUGUCCAGGGCUUCACACAUGCUACAAUGGCCGGUACAAAGGGCUGCGAUGCCGCGAGGUUAAGCGAAUCCUUUUAAAGCCGGUCUCAGUUCGGAUCG